CAGUCGAGCGAUGGAUUGAGAGCUUGCUCUCAAGAAGUUAGCGGCGGACGGGUGAGUAACACGUGGGUAACCUGCCCAUAAGACUGGGAUAACUCCGGGAAACCGGGGCUAAUACCGGAUAACAUUUUGAACUGCAUGGUUCGAAAUUGAAAGGCGGCUUCGGCUGUCACUUAUGGAUGGACCCGCGUCGCAUUAGCUAGUUGGUGAGGUAACGGCUCACCAAGGCAACGAUGCGUAGCCGACCUGAGAGGGUGAUCGGCCACACUGGGACUGAGACACGGCCCAGACUCCUACGGGAGGCAGCAGUAGGGAAUCUUCCGCAAUGGACGAAAGUCUGACGGAGCAACGCCGCGUGAGUGAUGAAGGCUUUCGGGUCGUAAAACUCUGUUGUUAGGGAAGAACAAGUGCUAGUUGAAUAAGCUGGCACCUUGACGGUACCUAACCAGAAAGCCACGGCUAACUACGUGCCAGCAGCCGCGGUAAUACGUAGGUGGCAAGCGUUAUCCGGAAUUAUUGGGCGUAAAGCGCGCGCAGGUGGUUUCUUAAGUCUGAUGUGAAAGCCCACGGCUCAACCGUGGAGGGUCAUUGGAAACUGGGAGACUUGAGUGCAGAAGAGGAAAGUGGAAUUCCAUGUGUAGCGGUGAAAUGCGUAGAGAUAUGGAGGAACACCAGUGGCGAAGGCGACUUUCUGGUCUGUAACUGACACUGAGGCGCGAAAGCGUGGGG
rnacentral:rRNA from 1 species